rnacentral:lncRNA from 1 species
UCCUAUUUACCAUCUAAGCAGGAGUUGCCUUGGGGCAGUCUUCCUUAUCUGCGGUUAAUAGCCCCAUCAAUGCCUUACCACAUGAACCAGAGAUAACACUGUCCAGGAGCAGGUGAUUAAGGACACACCUUGAGACUCAUAAUGACCCAUUGUGAGAUGCUCUGCCCAGGGGGGAGGAGCUAGGCAUUCCAACCUGGAUAAACUGGGGAUUUCUAGACAGAAGAGCCAGCCUUUUCACAGGUUCUCCGAGAGGCCGCAGCGACUACAUCUGCCAUCCCAAGAGGACUGCAGCUACUCCAAUUUGGACUGCUGCCAGCACGCUGGCCAGGUUGCGUUCUGACUUUGUCGGUGGUCUUUCCCUUUGUAUUGUUACAUGUAUUUUUUGUCCCUUUCCCCUUUUUCCCAGUAAAUUGUAUUUCUGACUUGGAGUCUCUCACUGGUUUUGCUUUCAAACCAGAACAUAUUUUUGGCCACCCAACGUGGGGCAAGAAAGCACUGAGAGAAGUCAGAAUUACAAUCUUGUAUUGUAGAGGGUAUCUAUUCACUAUGAUGCUCAACAUGCUUUUUUGGGCCUCAUACCUAGCUCUCUAUAUUUUCCCGAAUGUGGGGAAUUAUGUGGCAAUUGUAAUGCUCAUGUGUAGACCAGGGUAUGGUAUGAGAAUUGCCUUAUUGGUCUACUAUGUCUAUCGCAUUAUGACCUCUGAGGCAAUGAACAUGAUUUGGAAUAUGUACUCAAUUCUGUUUGCUUGUCCUAAUCUAGGCUGCUACAUCUGGGGCCUCGGCAACCUCACCCAGCCCCUGGGGGGAGGGGUAAAGAUUGAUUUUUUCCAACCUUUCAGGCUUGACACAGCAGUUUUUGAAAAUGUUAAAUUCCCUCUGGAUGCCAAGGACAGCAUAAUGUUGUUGUUAGUUCUUCUUUGUCUCCUCUGCACAGUCUGCAACAUGCUUAGAAACAAAACACUACAUAGUGUGGUGCAGCGUCUUCUUGAGGAAGAGGAAACAAGAAGCAAAGCAGCAGUGUCCGUGCCUGUACAGAAUACCACAACAGCAGCCAUGUCAACGCAGACUGCCACAGAGAAAGAAGGAACCAAAAGGAAAACCACAGUGUCCGUGUCUACACAGACUGUCAUGGAGGAAGAAACAAAAAGCAAAGCAAAAGUGUCUAUGUCUACACAGACCGGCACAGAGGAGGAAGGCACCGAAAGCGCCAUCAGCAUCUCCACACAAACCAUCACCAAACCAGACCAGCCUGAACCCAUAGGAGUUGCCCCUGUUCAGAAGAAGAAAUCGAGGAGCAAAUCAGUCCGCAUAGUGACUGACGAGGACACUGCAGGACCCUCGCACCCAGUGGAAGAGACAGAACCAGAGAUCAUCACUCGCUCUCUAUCCCUGGGUGAGCUACGUGACCUGCGGAGAGAAUUCACCCGCCAGACAAAUGAGUCCAUCCUCACCUGGCUUCUCCGCAUCUGGGACGCUGCAGCCAACGACACCAUUCUGGAUGGAAGUGAGGCCAGGCAACUGGGAUCACUAUCCCGGGAUGUGGUCAUUGACCAGGGGAUUGGGAGAACCCAAGAAACUCUCAGCCUCUGGCGGCGACUGCUUGCAAGUGUGAAGGACAGAUACCUUUGUAAAG